AUGUUUGUAAGAGAAAACAGGACGAAGCAAAACGCCGGGGGGAGCCCACCCCCAGAAAAAGACACCCCCCGACCCUUUAAAGAAGCAAACAGCAUUUAUACAGAUUUCAUAUUUCUACCCGCCUUUCCUGAUCUGUGUUUUCUAUAUAUUCUAUAUAAGUAUAUAUGGUGCGGGGCUGCCAGGUGGGGCUUUUGUAGGGGCAGCGGGCGGGCGGCGUGGCCACGCCUGGAGCUGGCGGCGCGGACUCCCCCUCCGUUACAAUCAACUUUGAAUUCUGUAUUUUUUUAUAAUAAAACGAGUGUAAACCUCCAGCGUGUGCAUGUGUGGGGGGCCCUCUGCCAGCUGCGGGGGCGGGGGGGACACUCGGAACUUACAGUUUGGAGCUGCGUCCCGAGGCUGCCCGCGGGGAGGGAGGGAGAUCGGGGCUCCACCGUGACGGAGUCUCGGGUGCUUGGGGGGCCAGGCCCCGGGAUGAGCACUUUGUGGGGCUCUGUCCUUCGUGGCCCUCCAUGGGCCUCAGCGCCCCCCCCACGCCCCCGAGCAGUGAGAACAAGACCCCCCAGGCCGGGGGCGGCCGGAGGAAGCAGGGAAGACACGGGGAAGGCGGCAGAGGCACCCAGAUUGCAAGCCCCCAGGCCUGGUCCGGGUGCCCCGCUCCCUCGGCCGUAUCUGGGGUCCCCGGGGAGGGGAGAGAGGAUCUUCAGGUUCCGAGACGGGUCUUUUAGGAUCCAACCAAAUUAUAUGGCCUCUGUCGCCAAGCUCUGCGGCUGUGUGACUCAGUUUCCCUACCUGCCCAGCCCCACGUCAGGGGUCUGGGUUGCCUCUGAAUCCCUCUCUGGGUUUGCAAAAGGGACGCGUCAGGGACUGUGGGCGCUGAGGGGCCUUCACCCCGGCCUAGCCCCAGAUGGGGGCCCAGAGAGAGGCUGGGGGCCGCCCAGCAGGCCCGGGGACUGGGGACCCCUCGGCCGCCUGUCGCCUUGGUGCCGCCGCCAGCCCCGCAGCCUCCCGGGCACGAUUCGCGGGGAGGGGAGGCCCGCAGCUAAUGAAUUCGGCCGAGCUGGGCCCAAGACAGGGCCUGCCUCUUAA
rnacentral:lncRNA from 1 species